rnacentral:rRNA from 1 species
AUGGGCGAAAGCCUGAUGCAGCCAUGCCGCGUGAAUGAUGAAGGCCUUAGGGUUGUAAAAUUCUUUCGCUAGGGAUGAUAAUGACAGUACCUAGUAAAGAAGCCCCGGCUAACUUCGUGCCAGCAGCCGCGGUAAUACGAAGGGGGCUAGCGUUGUUCGGAAUUACUGGGCGUAAAGCGCACGUAGGCGGACUUUUAAGUCAGAUGUGAAAUCCCGGGGCUCAACCUCGGAACUGCAUUUGAAACUGGAAGUCUAGAGACCAGGAGAGGUUAGCGGAAUACCGAGUGUAGAGGUGAAAUUCGUAGAUAUUCGGUGGAACACCAGUGGCGAAGGCGGCUAACUGGACUGGUACUGACGCUGAGGUGCGAAAGUGUGGGGAGCAAACAGGAUUAGAUACCCUGGUAGUCCACACCGUAAACGAUGAGAGCUAGUUGUUGGCAGGCAUGCCUGUCGGUGACGCAGCUAACGCAUUAAGCUCUCCGCCUGGGGAGUACGGUCGCAAGAUUAAAACUCAAAGGAUUGGACGGGGG